rnacentral:tRNA from 1 species
UGGCCAGAUAGCUCAGUUGGUAGAGCAGAGGACUGAAAAUCCUCGUGUCAGGGGUUCGACUCCCUUUCUGGCCACCC